GGCGCGAUUCGCCUUAGAGUUUGAUCAUGGCUCAGGAUGAACGCUGGCGGUAUGCUUUACACAUGCAAGUCGUACGAGAGUUUUUAACUCAAGUGGCGGACGGGUGAGUAACACGUAAGAAUUUGCCUUUAGGAGGGGGACAACAACUGGAAACGGUUGCUAAUACCCCAUAUGCUUUCGAGUGAAAUGAAUUUAUUCGCCUAAAGAGAAGCUCGCGGCUGAUUAGCUUGCUGGUGGGGUAAGAGCCUACCAAGGCGACGAUCAGUAUCUGGUUUGAGAGGACGAUCAGACACACUGGAACUGAGACACGGUCCAGACUCCUACGGGAGGCAGCAGUGGGGAAUUUUCCGCAAUGGGCGAAAGCCUGACGGAGCAAUACCGCGUGAGGGAAGACUGCCUAUGGGUUGUAAACCUCUUUUUUCAGGGAGGAAUUUUGACGCGUACCUGAAGAAUAAGCAUCGGCUAACUCCGUGCCAGCAGCCGCGGUAAGACGGAGGAUGCAAGUGUUAUCCGGAAUCACUGGGCGUAAAGCGUCUGUAGGUGGUUAAGCAAGUCAACUGUUAAAUCUUGAGGCUCAACUUCAAAAUCGCAGUCGAAACUGUUUGACUAGAGUAUAGUAGGGGUAAAGGGAAUUUCCAGUGGAGCGGUGAAAUGCGUAGAUAUUGGAAAGAACACCGAUGGCGAAGGCACUUUACUGGGCUAUUACUGACACUCAGAGACGAAAGCUAGGGUAGCAAAUG
rnacentral:rRNA from 1 species